rnacentral:rRNA from 1 species
UCAGAAUGUCGCGGUGAAUACGUUCCCGGGUCUUGUACACACCGCCCGUCACACCAUGGGAGUCAGUAACGCCCGAAGCCGGUGACCUAACCGAAAGGGAGGAGCCGUCGAAGGUGGGACCGAUAACUGGGGUGAAGUCGUAACAAGGUACC